rnacentral:rRNA from 1 species
GAUGAACGCUGGCGGCGUGCUUAACACAUGCAAGUCGAACGGUGAAGCAGAGCUUGCUCUGUGGAUCAGUGGCGAACGGGUGAGUAACACGUGAGCAACCUGCCCCGGACUCUGGGAUAAGCGCUGGAAACGGCGUCUAAUACCGGAUACGAGACAAGANGGCAUCGUCAUUGUCUGGAAAGAUUUUUUGGUCUGGGAUGGGCUCGCGGCCUAUCAGCUUGUUGGUGAGGUAAUGGCUCACCAAGGCGUCGACGGGUAGCCGGCCUGAGAGGGUGACCGGCCACACUGGGACUGAGACACGGCCCAGACUCCUACGGGAGGCAGCAGUGGGGAAUAUUGCACAAUGGGCGAAGAGCCUGAUGCAGCAACGCCGCGUGAGGGAUGACGGCCUUCGGGUUGUAAACCUCUUUUAGCAGGGAAGAAGCGAAAGUGACGGUACCUGCAGAAAAAGCGCCGGCUAACUACGUGCCAGCAGCCGCGGUAAUACGUAGGGCGCAAGCGUUAUCCGGAAUUAUUGGGCGUAAAGAGCUCGUAGGCGGUUUGUCGCGUCUGCUGUGAAAUCCCGAGGCUCAACCUCGGGCCUGCAGUGGGUACGGGCAGACUAGAGUGCGGUAGGGGAGAUUGGAAUUCCUGGUGUAGCGGUGGAAUGCGCAGAUAUCAGGAGGAACACCGAUGGCGAAGGCAGAUCUCUGGGCCGUAACUGACGCUGAGGAGCGAAAGGGUGGGGAGCAAACAGGCUUAGAUACCCUGGUAGUCCACCCCGUAAACGUUGGGAACUAGUUGUGGGGUCCAUUCCACGGAUUCCGUGACGCAGCUAACGCAUUAAGUUCCCCGCCUGGGGAGUACGGCCGCAAGGCUAAAACUCAAAGGAAUUGACGGGGACCCGCACAAGCGGCGGAGCAUGCGGAUUAAUUCGAUGCAACGCGAAGAACCUUACCAAGGCUUGACAUAUACGAGAACACUUCAGAAAUGAAGGACUCUUUGGACACUCGUAUACAGGUGGUGCAUGGUUGUCGUCAGCUCGUGUCGUGAGAUGUUGGGUUAAGUCCCGCAACGAGCGCAACCCUCGUUCUAUGUUGCCAGCACGUAAUGGUGGGAAC